UACAGAGGCCUCGAGCGUUAGGCGGAAUCACUGGGCUUAAAGCGUGUGUAGGCGGAUGUCUAAGUGCUUUGUGAAAUCCCACGGCUCAACCGUGGAACUGCUUGGCAUACUGGAUGUCUUGAGCGGUCUAGGGGCGAGCGGAACAGAUGGUGGAGCGGUGAAAUGCGUAGAUAUCAUCUGGAACGCCUAUGGUGAAAACAGCUCGCUGGGGACCUGCUGACGCUGAGACACGAAAGCCAGGGGAGCGAACGGG
rnacentral:rRNA from 1 species